UACAGAGGGUGCAAGCGUUGUUCGGAAUUACUGGGCGUAAAGCGCGUGUAGGCUGCGAUGUAAGUCAGGUGUGAAAGCCCUCAGCUUAACUGGGGAAGUGCACUUGAUACUGUGUCGCUUGAGUGUCGGAGGGGGUGGCGGAAUUCCCGGUGUAGAGGUGAAAUUCGUAGAUAUCGGGAGGAACACCUGUGGCGAAGGCGGCCACCUGGACGACAACUGACGCUGAGACGCGAAAGCGUGGGUAGCAAACAGG
rnacentral:rRNA from 1 species